rnacentral:rRNA from 1 species
AACAGGAUUAGAUACCCUGGUAGUCCACGCCGUAAACGAUGUCGACUUGGAGGUUGUGCCCUUGAGGCGUGGCUUCCGGAGCUAACGCGUUAAGUCGACCGCCUGGGGAGUACGGCCGCAAGGUUAAAACUCAAAUGAAUUGACGGGGGCCCGCACAAGCGGUGGAGCAUGUGGUUUAAUUCGAUGCAACGCGAAGAACCUUACCUACUCUUGACAUCCAGAGAACUUAGCAGAGAUGCUUUGGUGCCUUCGGGAACUCUGAGACAGGUGCUGCAUGGCUGUCGUCAGCUCGUGUUGUGAAAUGUUGGGUUAAGUCCCGCAACGAGCGCAACCCUUAUCCUUUGUUGCCAGCGGUCCGGCCGGGAACUCAAAGGAGACUGCCAGCGAUAAACUGGAGGAAGGUGGGGAUGACGUCAAGUCAUCAUGGCCCUUACGAGUAGGGCUACACACGUGCUACAAUGGCAUAUACAAAGAGAAGCGACCUCGCGAGAGCAAGCGGACCUCAUAAAGUAUGUCGUAGUCCGGAUUGGAGUCUGCAACUCGACUCCAUGAAGUCGGAAUCGCUAGUAAUCGUGGAUCAGAAUGCCACGGUGAAUACGUUCCCGGGCCUUGUACACACCGCCCGUCACACCAUGGGAGUGGGUUGCAAAAGAAGUAGGUAGCUUAACCUUCGGGAGGGCGCUUACCACUUUGUGAUUCAUGACUGGGGUGAAGUCGUAACAAGGUAACC